rnacentral:lncRNA from 1 species
AGAAGCACAAGCUUCUUCUGUGACAUUCUUGCCAACAUUAUCAGCACCUGAGUAUAAAUUUUAACGACUCUUAUGAGGCAGAGGGCAAAUAUUAAAAAUACUCAGAGAAACCAUUGGAAACAAAGGGAAUACAGGGAAAACAUCUAUGAAUUACACUUCCUAUUUUUCUGGUUUUAUGAAAGCGUUCCAACGUUUAUUAGACACACCUUGAUAUUGAAGUGCAUAUUUUCCUGGUUCUUGCUAAGAUCAUCAGAAUACUUCAGGGCUUUAAGAAAAAUAUUAAAAACAAACAAAGUCAAAGAGAAAAUGAAUGUCUCUCAUUUUUUUUUAGUUCUAAGGAUUCUAACCUCCAUUUAUGAUCAAACACCAGCUGGGUGAAGAUCAAGGGCGGCCCAGAUGCAUGAGUGCCAACUACAUCAUGACUGUCACAAUCUUUGUGCUGGUACAGAUUUCAUCUUCAGGUCUGGAGCUGUAUAGAAAACUGCCUACUGGAAAUUGUCCUUCAGAUGUCUGCAGGCAUUUCACACUUAACUUUCUUUCAAAAUAAAGACAUUUUCCAUUCCUGCAUCUGCUGCACCCCAUACAGCCUUCAUCUGAUUUACCUCCUGUGAUUCCAGUCUGUCUGAACAGCACCAUCAUCCAGUCAGUUCUCCAAGCCAGAAGCCCAGCAGUCAUCUUAGACUUCUCCUUACUCUUGCCUCCUGCAUCCAGUCACUUCUGUCUUCCUUGCCUACUUGUACUGUGUGUACUGAUACAUCUCAUAAUCUGUCUUCAUCUCUCUGUACCUAGGGCCAGUGCUCUAAUUCAAGUCCUCAUCAUUUCUCUCCUGGAAAAAGGCUGUUACUUCUUCAUUCUUGCUCCCACUUCUCCUCGACUCCAUCCUCCAGAUUAUUGCCAGAACCAAUCACAGAAAUCUAAUUGAACAAUACAUCUGUUCACAACUUUCCAGUAGCUAACCAGUAGCUAUAGGAUAAACCACUCUCUUUCACGUUAUAUAAGAAAAGCCUUCAGUAUCUACCCCAUGUUUAAUACUACACUACGCUGUUAAGAUUUAUGCCACAGCAACACUGAUCUACCCAGUAAGUGGUCAGUACAUUUUAGUUGAAUUAAUAAAGAUAAGUGACAGUGUGAUUUGAUGGCCCAUGAACUCCCGUAUCAACCUCAUCAAUUGUCACCUCACCAUUAAAACUAUCUCCUUCCAGUCCUGAAGGUUUUAUUGGGUUCAAAAUUCCUAAAAAAGUAAGAAAGAAAGAAAGAAAGAAAGAAAGAAAGAAAGAAAGAAAGAAAGAAGAAAUAAAUAAAUAAAGAAAGAAAGAAAGGAAGGAAGGAAGGAAGGAAAAAAGAAAGCAAGAAAGAAAAGGAAAGAAAGAAAGAAAGAAAGAAAGAAAGAAAAUGUGAAAAGCUUUGGGAGUAUUCAGCUUUCCUAGUAACUAUGUACAACAGUUAGCUAACUAAGGAUCUUCAUUGUGCAGAGAUGGAUUCUGUGUUUAGAAUCUGGGGCAUGGCCAGAGGGUGCUGCAGGUAUUCCUGACUUGCUUCACAAGGUGGCUUGGGGCCUUUGCUGGGAAGAACUCUGCUUUUGUAAUUCUGACAGCUGGAUAACCUUGGGUAAGUUACUCUAGUUUCUUUCAAGCAAAGUUAAAAUAGCAACAUUAACCUACCCCCCACAGGCAUGUUAAUAAGUACAUUCUUCCCCAAAGUGCAAUGUACGGAUUUUCAUUAGUCAUAGGGCUACAAUAAUAGUUAAUUGUCCCUAGUUCUUCUUGUUAUUUACUGUUCACUCAACCAAAAUAUGUUACUGAAGGGACUGAGGGGAGAAAGUUGCAAAAUAUGCUGCUGUUCCAAAUAAGUUGCCAAGAUAAUAAAAAACAAUGUAAUCAGACUGUGAGAAGACCUUCUGAUUUCCAUCCCAACUAAUCAUUAGAGAUUCUAUUGCAAACUAAUUUUCUUAUCUCUUAUCUCUAAGUCAGCUCCUCUGCCAAGGACUUAAGGACUCAAUUUAUCAUCUCCCUUAACAGGUGCCUUAGCUGCCAAUGUGCCUGGGCCCUGGACCUGCCCAAAUGAUUUAAAGCAAAAUUGAUCGUGACUCACAAUAUUUAUACUUUCGAUCUUAAAUACAAAUGCCUAAAUACUGAAGUAAUAGACAAUGCAACACUGAUACUACAUACUAUAUAUACAACUUUCGUUCUCCCGAUUUCUUCUUUUAUAUGACGUAUAGUGUUCUUAUAAUCAACCAAAUGUGUGAUACCACAAAAGAUCCUCUCUUUCCCCCUCAUUAUACCAGGAUAUGAGAAGAAAAAGGCAGGACAAAAGGAACGUUCAGAAAGCUGUAUCUCUAGACACCAAAAAUCAAAGCAGCUGACUUAGGCAUAUAUUUCAGUUGACCCAUCUCAAUCUUUCCAAUAUACUCAUUAGUCAACUGACAGGCCAACCAGACUGAUUGGUUCU